rnacentral:rRNA from 1 species
GAUGAACGCUGGCGGCGUGCCUAAUACAUGCAAGUAGAACGCUGAAGGAAGGAGCUUGCUCUUUCCGGAUGAGUUGCGAACGGGUGAGUAACGCGUAGGUAACCUGCCUGGUAGCGGGGGAUAACUAUUGGAAACGAUAGCUAAUACCGCAUAACAGUAGAUGUUGCAUGAUAUCUACUUAAAAGGUGCAAUUGCACCACUACCAGAUGGACCUGCGUUGUAUUAGCUAGUUGGUGAGGUAACGGCUCACCAAGGCGACGAUACAUAGCCGACCUGAGAGGGUGAUCGGCCACACUGGGACUGAGACACGGCCCAGAAUCCUACGGGAGGCAGCAGUAGGGAAUCUUCGGCAAUGGACGGAAGUCUGACCGAGCAACGCCGCGUGAGUGAAGAAGGUUUUCGGAUCGUAAAGCUCUGUUGUAAGAGAAGAACGAGUGUGAGAGUGGGAAGUUCACACUGUGACGGUAUCUUACCAGAAAGGGACGGCUAACUACGUG